CCCUUAGAUGUUCUGGGCCGCACACGCGCUACACUGAAGGAGGCAGCGUGUACUCCUGGAUCGAAAGAUUUGGGUAACCCGCGAAUCUCCUUCGUGCUAGGGAUUGAGGUUUGCAAUUAUCCUUCAUGAACGAGGAAUUCCCAGUAAGUGCAAGUCAUAAGCUUGCGCUGACUACGUCCCUACCCUUUGUACACACCGCCCGUCGCUACUACCGAUUGAAUGAUUUAGUGAGGACUUCGGACUGGGACCGAUGCGGCUUUCGGGCUGCGUCGGUAUUCUGGAAAGAUGUCCAAACUGUAUCAUUUAGAGGAAGUAAAANUCGUAACA
rnacentral:rRNA from 1 species